GUCCCCAUCGUCCAGUGGUCAGGACGCGGCCCUUUCAAGGCCGAAACGCGGGUUCGACUCCCGCUGGGGACGCCA
rnacentral:tRNA from 1 species